rnacentral:rRNA from 1 species
AAUCAACGCUGGCGGCGUGCCUAACACAUGCAAGUCGGACGUGAAAGGGGUUUCGGCCCUGAGUAGCGUGGCGGACGGGUGAGGAACGCGUGGGUGACCUGCCCUGCAGAGGGGGAUAACCCUCCGAAAGGGGGGCUAAUACCGCAUGAGCCCGAGAGGGGAAAGACGGUGAGUCGCUGCGGGAGGGGCCUGCGUCCGAUUAGCUAGUUGGUGGGGUAAGAGCCCACCAAGGCGACGAUCGGUAGCCGGACUGAGAGGUUGAACGGCCACAUUGGGACUGAGACACGGCCCAGACUCCUACGGGAGGCAGCAGUGGGGGAUAUUGCACAAUGGGGGAAACCCUGAUGCAGCGACGCCGCGUGUAGGAAGACGGUCCUCUGGAUUGUAAACUACUGUCUUCGGGGACGAAAAAAGACGGUACCCGAGGAGGAAGCCACGGCUAACUACGUG